rnacentral:rRNA from 1 species
GGAAGCGAUCAUACCAGCACACUAAAGCACCGGAUCCCAUCAGAACUCCGAAGCUAAGCGUGCUUGGGCGAGAGUAGUACUAGGAUGGGUGACCUCACGGAAGUCCUCGUGUUGCAUUCC